AUUUUGUUAGAAACAAAGUUUUUAAUGUUUUUUUCCCUAUAAAUAAUUCCUCAUAUACUUUAUAUAAGUUUAAUACGUUAUUUUAUAUGAGUUUAAUACGUUAUUUACUUUGAAUAUUCUAUAACUUUCGCAAUUAUCAUCACAGUUACAGUGAAGAUGAAUUCCCUUUUCUUGAGUCCCCAACAUGUACUUCAAGGAGGCUAUUUCAAUUCUACUCUGCGUAAACUACAAGAGCCAAACACCAGCAUUGAGCCUCACAACAUAAUGUACCCCAUAUUUUUACUGGAAGAUGACGACGCAGUUCAGCCAGUUUCCAGCAUGCCCAAUGUGUUCAGAUAUGGACUCAACAAAUUAAUACCUGCACUUGGCGAGUUAGUUAACAAAGGAUUGCAGUCUGUACUUAUUUUUGGAAUUGUGGAGAAGUUACCAAAGGAUUCUCGAGGUUCCAGUGCGGAUUGUAAAGAUAACCCAGUAGUAAAAGCUUUACCCAAGCUGAGGCAAGCCUUUCCACAGCUGACACUAGCUUCCGAUGUGUGCCUGUGUCCCUACACUUCCCAUGGACACUGUGGUGUGCUGACAGAGAAUGGAGUUAUUGACCAUGAGCCAUCUGUGAAGAGGAUAGCAGAUGUUGCUUUAGCUUAUGCCAAAGCAGGAGCUCAUAUUGUAGCACCUUCUGACAUGAUGGACAACAGAAUAAAAGCAAUAAAGGAUGCCUUAGUGGCAAACAAAUUGCAAAAUCAGGUAUCAGUGUUAUCAUACUCAUGUAAGUUUGCAUCAGCUAUGUAUGGGCCAUUCCGAGACACCAUGAAGAGUUCUCCGAUGGCUGGAGACAGGAAAUGCUACCAAUUGCCGCCAGGCAGCGCCGGGCUAGCUGCCAGAGCUGCUGAGCGAGAUGUCGCAGAAGGUGCAGAUUUUCUAAUGGUGAAGCCUGGACUACCAUACUUGGACAUUGUGAGGCAAACCAAAGACCGCUAUCCCAACCACCCACUAUUCAUAUAUCAGGUAUCUGGCGAGUACGCGAUGAUCGCCCAGCAGAAGGACAGCAAUGAGAUGCAGACCAUCCUCUUGGAGACACUCACAUGUAUGCGCAGAGCCGGUGCGGAUUGUAUCAUCACAUACUUCGCUCCAUUAGUUUUAAGCAUUAUCUCUAAACAAUAGAUCUGGAUGGUUUACUGGAUUUACUUGAAAAAGGGGCUGAGAUAAAUGACGAAUGCGGACUCCACUGCCGCCGCUCCUCGCGCUGCCGCCUGCCGACAAUAUUGCCCUGAAUACUUCUGCAGCAGUAACGACGCGAGUGAGAGCGUGUACACUCAGCCACUGACAUACUUGCUGGCUACUGCGUUGUGCAGCAGCAGCGGCAGCCGGCAGCGCCGGCAUGACGAGUGGCAGCGCGAGUGACUAUUUACAUUCUCGCGUUGUAGUUGUCCACUACAACCAGGGCUGAAUAUAAACGACGCAUAAUAAAUUAUAAAUGAAGGGUUUUGACUUUUGGGUAGUUCGUAGGUUCCUAUAAGUAAUAAUUGUUUAGACUUUAGGCGAUAUUUAUGAAAUGUUUAGAAUUUGGACCACUUUUUAAAGGGUUUUCCGAAAACGAUUAUUUAAUAUUUUUAUAUUUGGGGGAUUUUUAUUGUUUUCAUUUAAUGACUUUUGGAGUGUAAUGAAAAUGUAUAUUGGGAUUUGGGACUAUCUGGUGUUGCAGAAUUUAUUUACAUUUAGGUUAGUAGGU